AUGGCGGACUCACCAUUGUGUGGACUGUGUGGUGCUCCAGACUCUUGGAAACACUCCCUCAUCAAGUGCACAACUUCAAGGUGCACCUGGGCAUUGGUCGAUGACGAGCUAGCCAGUCAACUAGUGAAUACUAAUGAGACAAAGGCAAAACAGUGGCUGUUUACUCUCAUUGACUCAUUAUCACAUGAUCAGUUCAUCAAGGUUGCGGUGACACUUUGGGCUAUCUGGACAUCUAGACGCAAAGGAGGGGCUGCAGGGGGGCGCACAUCCAGCCCGGUCAUACGCCAGAAGGCCCCGCCGACGGGCCAUGCGAAAAUUCAUGUCGAUGCAGGAGUCCGAGCGGGCAGGGGAGGCUCGGCAGCGGCUGUUUGUCAGGAUCACCAUGGAGCCUAUCUGGGAAGUUCCGCGCUAGUAAUAGCCGGGCUGGACGAUCCCUUAAUCUUGGAAACUAUUGCAUGUAGAGAGGCCCUUGCUCUAGCGGAAGAUCUGAACUUACAAAAUGUGCUCAUUGCGUCGGACUGCAAACAGGCUAUACUGGACAUCAACAACGCUAGCAUGGGAAAGAAUGGUUCAAUAGUGAGGGAGAUUAUUACCCGGUCAAGUGUUUUUCUUUGUAAAUUUACUUUUGAAGGUCGUGCAGCCAAUAAGGAAGCACACAGUUUAGUUAGUUUUGCUAUUGGUAGAGGGCCGGGGCGGCAUACUUGGUUAGGCCAGCCCCAUAACCCUAGUUGUAUCCCAUGUUGGAAAUAUGCUCUAGAGGCAAUAAUAAAAGUAUUAUUAUAUUUUAUUGUUCAUGAUAAUUGUCUUUUAUUCAUGCUAUAA
rnacentral:rRNA from 1 species